UGGCUCUCCCAUCGAUGAAGAACGCAGCGAAAUGCGAUAAGUAAUGUGAAUUGCAGAACUCAGUGAAUCAUCGAAUCUUUGAACGCACCUUGCGCCCUUUGGUAUUCCGAAGGGCAUGCCUGUUUGAGUGUCAUUAAAUUCUCAACCUUAUGAAUGCUUUUGUGUUGAUAAGGCUUGGAUGUGAGGGUUUUGCUGGCUUCCUUCAGUGGCGGUCUGCUCCCUUUAAAAGCAUUAGUGGGAUCCUUUGUGGACGGUCACUUGGUGUGAUAAUUUAUCUACGCCGCUUGUACUGAAAGCAAAACUUAUGGGAACCUGCUUAUAACUGUCUGUAAUGGACAACUUUUGAACUUUGACCUCAAAUCAGGUAGGACUACCCGCUGA
rnacentral:misc_RNA from 1 species